UACGUAGGGGGCAAGCGUUGUCCGGAAUCAUUGGGCGUAAAGCGCGUGUAGGCGGCCCGGUAAGUCCGCUGUGAAAGUCGGGGGCUCAACCCUCGAAUGCCGGUGGAUACUGUCGGGCUAGAGUGCGGAAGAGGCGAGUGGAAUUCCUGGUGUAGCGGUGAAGUGCGCAGAUAUCAGGAGGAACACCAAUUGCGAAGGCAGCUUGCUGGGCCGUACCUGACGCUGAGACACGAAAGCGUGGGGAGCGAACAGG
rnacentral:rRNA from 1 species